rnacentral:rRNA from 1 species
AACGAACGCUGGCGGCAUGCCUAACACAUGCAAGUCGAACGAGACCUUCGGGUCUAGUGGCGCACGGGUGCGUAAAGCGUGGGAACCUGCCCUUAGGUUCGGAAUAACUCCCCGUCAGGGGUGCUAAUACCGGAAAAUGUCUUCGGACACAAGAUUUAUCGCCUUUGGGUGGGCACGCGUUGGAUUAGCUAGUUGGUAGGGUAAAAGCCUACCAAGGCGACGAUCCAUAGCUGGUCUGAGAGGAUGAUCAGCCACACUGGGACUGAGACACGGCCCAGACUCCUACGGGAGGCAGCAGUGGGGAAUAUUGGACAAUGGGCGAAAGCCUGAUCCAGCUAUGCCGCGUGAGUGAUGAAGGCCUUAGGGUUGUAAAGCUCUUUUACCCGGGACGAUACUGACAGUACCGGGAGAAUAAGCUCCGGCUAACUCCGUG